rnacentral:rRNA from 1 species
UAUUAUGAGAGUUUGAUCCUGGCUCAGGACGAACGCUGGCGGCGUGCCUAAUACAUGCAAGUCGUACGCUUUUUCUUUCACCGGAGCUUGCUCCACCGAAAGAAAAGGAGUGGCGAACGGGUGAGUAACACGUGGGUAACCUGCCCAUCAGAAGGGGAUAACACUUGGAAACAGGUGCUAAUACCGUAUAACAAUCGAAACCGCAUGGUUUUGAUUUGAAAGGCGCUUUCGGGUGUCGCUGAUGGAUGGACCCGCGGUGCAUUAGCUAGUUGGUGAGGUAACGGCUCACCAAGGCCACGAUGCAUAGCCGACCUGAGAGGGUGAUCGGCCACAUUGGGACUGAGACACGGCCCAAACUCCUACGGGAGGCAGCAGUAGGGAAUCUUCGGCAAUGGACGAAAGUCUGACCGAGCAACGCCGCGUGAGUGAAGAAGGUUUUCGGAUCGUAAAACUCUGUUGUUAGAGAAGAACAAGGAUGAGAGUAACUGUUCAUCCCUUGACGGUAUCUAACCAGAAAGCCACGGCUAACUACGUGCCAGCAGCCGCGGUAAUACGUAGGUGGCAAGCGUUGUCCGGAUUUAUUGGGCGUAAAGCGAGCGCAGGCGGUUUCUUAAGUCUGAUGUGAAAGCCCCCGGCUCAACCGGGGAGGGUCAUUGGAAACUGGGAGACUUGAGUGCAGAAGAGGAGAGUGGAAUUCCAUGUGUAGCGGUGAAAUGCGUAGAUAUAUGGAGGAACACCAGUGGCGAAGGCGACUCUCUGGUCUGUAACUGACGCUGAGGCUCGAAAGCGUGGGGAGCAAACAGGAUUAGAUACCCUGGUAGUCCACGCCGUAAACGAUGAGUGCUAAGUGUUGGAGGGUUUCCGCCCUUCAGUGCUGCAGCUAACGCAUUAAGCACUCCGCCUGGGGAGUACGACCGCAAGGUUGAAACUCAAAGGAAUUGACGGGGGCCCGCACAAGCGGUGGAGCAUGUGGUUUAAUUCGAAGCAACGCGAAGAACCUUACCAGGUCUUGACAUCCUUUGAC